CCCUUAGAUGUUCUGGGCCGCACGCGCGCUACACUGAUGCAUUCAACGAGCCUAUCCUUGACCGACAGGUCCGGGUAAUCUUUGAAUCUGUAUCGUGACGGGGAUAGAUUAUUGCAAUUAUUAAUCUUCAACGAGGAAUGCCUAGUAGGCGCAAGUCAUCAGCUUGCGUCGAUUACGUCCCUGCCCUUUGUACACACCGCCCGUCGCUCCUACCGAUUGGGUGUGCUGGUGAAAUGUUCGGAUCGGCCGUUUGUCGCGGUUUCCGCGGCUCGUGGCUGAGAAGUUCAUUAAACCCUCCCACCUAGAGGAAGGAGAAGUCGUAACA
rnacentral:rRNA from 1 species